rnacentral:pre_miRNA from 1 species
AAGAUGUCUUCGACCUGGUGAUUGCCACUAGCGAGGUAUAGAGUUCCUACGUGUCCUGUAACUGUAGGAACUUCAUACCGUGCUCUUGGGAUUGCCAGUUAUC